rnacentral:sRNA from 1 species
UUGACUCUCAAAUGAGAAUCGUUAUGAUUAUCACAACUGGUCGCGAGAUCAGCCGAUAACUGAAAGACCAUUGGUUCGGACUCUCAGAUUAUCUCCUCAUCAGGCUAAUCACGGUUAUUUGACCCGGCUCUUGCCGGGUCUUUUUUU